UGCAGUCGAGCGGAUGAAGGAGCUUGCUCCUGGAUUCAGCGGCGGACGGGUGAGUAAUGCCUAGGAAUCUGCCUGGUAGUGGGGGACAACGUUUCGAAAGGAACGCUAAUACCGCAUACGUCCUACGGGAGAAAGCAGGGGACCUUCGGGCCUUGCGCUAUCAGAUGAGCCUAGGUCGGAUUAGCUAGUUGGUGAGGUAAUGGCUCACCAAGGCGACGAUCCGUAACUGGUCUGAGAGGAUGAUCAGUCACACUGGAACUGAGACACGGUCCAGACUCCUACGGGAGGCAGCAGUGGGGAAUAUUGGACAAUGGGCGAAAGCCUGAUCCAGCCAUGCCGCGUGUGUGAAGAAGGUCUUCGGAUUGUAAAGCACUUUAAGUUGGGAGGAAGGGUUGUAGAUUAAUACUCUGCAAUUUUGACGUUACCGACAGAAUAAGCACCGGCUAACUCUGUGCCAGCAGCCGCGGUAAUACAGAGGGUGCAAGCGUUAAUCGGAAUUACUGGGCGUAAAGCGCGCGUAGGUGGUUUGUUAAGUUGGAUGUGAAAUCCCCGGGCUCAACCUGGGAACUGCAUCCAAAACUGGCAAGCUAGAGUAUGGUAGAGGGUGGUGGAAUUUCCUGUGUAGCGGUGAAAUGCGUAGAUAUAGGAAGGAACACCAGUGGCGAAGGCGACCACCUGGACUGAUACUGACACUGAGGUGCGAAAGCGUGGGGAGCAAACAGGAUUAGAUACCCUGGUAGUCCACGCCGUAACGAUGUCAACUAGCCGUUGGGAGCCUUGAGCUCUUAGUGGCGCAGCUAACGCAUUAAGUUGACCGCCUGGGGAGUACGGGCCGCAAGGUUAAAACUCAAAUGAAUUGACGGGGGCCCGCACAAGCGGUGGAGCAUGUGGUUUAAUUUCGAAGCAACGCGAAGAACCUUACCAGGCCUUGACAUCCAAUGAACUUUCCAGAGAUGGAUUGGGUGCCGUUCGGGAAACAUUGAGACAGGUGCUGCAUGGCUGUCGAUCAGCUC
rnacentral:rRNA from 1 species